rnacentral:rRNA from 1 species
GAUGAACGCUGGCGGCGUGCCUAAUACAUGCAAGUCGAGCGAAUGGAUUAAGAGCUUGCUCUUAUGAAGUUAGCGGCGGACGGGUGAGUAACACGUGGGUAACCUGCCCAUAAGACUGGGAUAACUCCGGGAAACCGGGGCUAAUACCGGAUAACAUUUUGAACCGCCUGGUUCGAAAUUGAAAGGCGGCUUCGGCUGUCACUUAUGGAUGGACCCGCGUCGCAUUAGCUAGGUGGGGAGGUAACGGCUCACCAAGGCAACGAUGCGUAGCCGACCUGAGAGGGUGAUCGGCCACACUGGGACUGAGACACGGCCCAGACUCCGACGGGAGGCAGCAGUAGGGAAUCUUCCGCAAUGGACGAAAGUCUGACGGAGCAACGCCGCGUGAGUGAUGAAGGCUUUCGGGUCGUAAAACUCUGUUGUUAGGGAAGAACAAGUGCUAGUUGAAUAAGCUGGCACCUUGACGGUACCUAACCAGAAAGCCACGGCUAACUACGUGCCAGCAGCCGCAGUAA